AACGAACGCUGGCGGCAGGCCUAACACAUGCAAGUCGAGCGCCCCGCAAGGGGAGCGGCGGACGGGUGAGUAACGCGUGGGAACGUGCCCUUUGCUACGGAAUAGCCCCGGGAAACUGGGAGUAAUACCGUAUAAGCCCUACGGGGGAAAGAUUUAUCGGCAAAGGAUCGGCCCGCGUUGGAUUAGGUAGUUGGUGGGGUAAUGGCCUACCAAGCCGACGAUCCAUAGCUGGUUUGAGAGAAUGAUCUGCCACACUGGGACUGAGACACGGCCCAGACUCCUACGGGAGGCAGCAGUGGGGAAUCUUAGACAAUGGGCGCAAGCCUGAUCCAGCCAUGCCGCGUGAGCGAUGAAGGCCUUAGGGUUGUAAAGCUCUUUCGUGGGGGAAGAUAAUGACUGUACCCCAAGAAGAAGCCCCGGCUAACUCCGUGCCAGCAGCCGCCGUAAAAC
rnacentral:rRNA from 1 species